rnacentral:rRNA from 2 species
GGUUCGUAGUGACCUGCGGAGGAUCAUUAUCGAAUUCAAUCUCAAGGGAAAAACAACGGGUAGAGAGGGACUGUCGCUGGCUGGGACGGGACUCCUAGUUCCUUGCAUGUGCACGUCCCCCUCGCCUUUUUCCCUAUCUAUACACACACCUGUGCACCUUUUGUAGAUCGAUCCCCCUCUUCAAAAGGGGGGGGGGGGGGGGGAAGGAAUCUAUGUCUUACAUUACAUCACACCAUGUUGUAUGGCCAGAACGAAAGGACAAUGUUAUAUAUUAUACAACUUUCAGCAACGGAUCUCUUGGCUCUCGCAUCGAUGAAGAACGCAGCGAAUUGCGAUAAGUAAUGUGAAUUGCAGAUUUCCAGUGAAUCAUCGAAUCUUUGAACGCAUCUUGCGCUCCUUGGUAUUCCGAGGAGCAUGCCUGUUUGAGUGUCAUUGAAAUAUCAACCAUCCUCUCUUUGAGGUAUGGCUUGGAAUUGGGGGUUGCUGGCGGGGAACCGUCAGCUCUCCUUAAAUGUAUUAGCGAUCAAGUCGAGCUAGUCUUUGACGUGCACGGCCUUUGGCGUGAUAACGAUCGUCAUGGCUGGAGCGUCUUUCCUAGACUAUGCACAUACAUAAGAUCGCUUCUAAUGGGGGAAGUCUAUCUAUCGAGCUUAGCUACUAGGCAGUCCUUGCGAGGGGCUGGCGAACGCAAGGUGUCGAUCUCUGACUUGACAUUUAUUUUUGACCUCAAAUCAGGUAGGACUACCUGCUGAACUUAAGCAUAUCAAAAGGCCGGAGGAA